rnacentral:rRNA from 1 species
GACGAACGCUGGCGGCGUGAUUAACACAUGCAAGUCGAACGAAGUGGCGAACGGGUGAGUAACGCGUAAUCAACCUGCCCUUCAGAGGGGGACAACAGUUGGAAACGACUGCUAAUACCGCAUACUGAAGGAGGGGAUUGAGUGUGAUUAGCUCGUUGGAGGGUUAACGGACCCCCAAGGCGAUGAACAGUAGCCGGUCGUAUAGGAGGAACGGCAACAUGGGGACUGAGACACGGCCCAGACUCCUACGGGAGGCAGCAGUGGGGAAGCUUCCGCAAUGGACGAAAGUCUGACGGAGCAACGCCGCGUGAGUGAUGACGGCCUUCGGGUUGUAAAGCUCUGUUAAUCGGGACGCGGUACCGGAAUAGAAAGCCACGGCUAACUACGUGCCAGCAGCCGCGGUAAUAC